rnacentral:rRNA from 1 species
GAUGAACGCUAGCUACAGGCUUAACACAUGCAAGUCGAGGGGCAUCAGGAAGAAAGCUUGCUUUCUUUGCUGGCGACCGGCGCACGGGUGAGUAACACGUAUCCAACCUGCCCUUUACUCGGGGAUAGCCUUUCGAAAGAAAGAUUAAUACCCGAUAGCAUAAUGAUUCCGCAUGGUUUCAUUAUUAAAGGAUUCCGGUAAAGGAUGGGGAUGCGUUCCAUUAGGUUGUUGGUGAGGUAACGGCCCACCAAGCCUUCGAUGGAUAGGGGUUCUGAGAGGAAGGUCCCCCACAUUGGAACUGAGACACGGUCCAAACUCCUACGGGAGGCAGCAGUGAGGAAUAUUGGUCAAUGGGCGUUAGCCUGAACCAGCCAAGUAGCGUGAAGGAUGAAGGCUCUAUGGGUCGUAAACUUCUUUUAUAUAAGAAUAAAGUGCAGUAUGUAUACUGUUUUGUAUGUAUUAUAUGAAUAAGGAUCGGCUAACUCCGUGCCAGCAGCCGCGGUAAUACGGAGGAUCCGAGCGUUAUCCGGAUUUAUUGGGUUUAAAGGGAGCGUAGGUGGACUGGUAAGUCAGUUGUGAAAGUUUGCGGCUCAACCGUAAAAUUGCAGUUGAUACUGUCAGUCUUGAGUACAGUAGAGGUGGGCGGAAUUCGUGGUGUAGCGGUGAAAUGCUUAGAUAUCACGAAGAACUCCGAUUGCGAAGGCAGCUCACUGGACUGNCACUGACACUGAUGCUCGAAAGUGUGGGUAUCAAA